CUUAUCCCCUCUCGGGAGUGUAAUUAAUCUGGUAGGUUUUCUUUGUUGGUUUGGUGUAAUGCAGUUUUGUGGAGGUGGUUCAUUUGGCACUACAGUGGACUCUGUUGGUUUGGUGUAAUGCAGUUUUGUGGUGGUGGUUCAUUUGACACUACAGUGGACUCGGGAUGGAGUGGUGGACAGAUGAUUCCGACUCAUGAAUACAAUGAAGUUUGAAGGAUUCAUGUCGUGUCGUAGAGGAAUAGGAAGUGUUGUCCAAGAUCCAGAAAGUUUGGUGCGCAAGAAUAAAAAGUUUUAUUAUAGUUUAAGCCAUUACACACUACGUGGUAAUAACCUACCUCAUUUUGUUCUUCUCACUAUUCACAUCAUUUCUAAUGAUUACACUACUUGUCGGAAAUUAAUAAUAACGCCACAAUAGGCCUGGGAAUGCACAGCGCUCUCAAGUUUUUAUAUAAAUGGUGUAUUGUUGCCUGAACUUCAGUUGUUUAAUGCUUUGAAUUGUGGGUAGCUGCUGGAUAGGAUCACUGUGUCUAUAAUUCCUCGGGCCAAUCACGUGCUACCACCACUUAACACCACGAGUUGCACCAAUAGGAAGUCUCUAUAAGUACCCAUAAGCUGCGCGGGCAGGUGUGUGCACACCGCUUCCGGUCACUUCCGCCAUGGCUAUUGUUGACGUUACUUGUGCUGGUUGCAAAUUUGAUUAUUGGCUCUUCAUCGCUACGUUUCACCGCAAAGACGACUUGUGCUACCAGUUCUUGAGGGAACACGGCGUUUUACCCACUGCAGUCGAGUCUCCCGAGUGCCACACGCCGUGUAAGCUGCGCAGUGACAGGCGUGUGUGGUAUUGCGGCCGGUACCGCAAGCUGCAGAAAAAGAAGCGCAGUAAGCAGUUUAACUUCAGCGUUUCUGACUUUAAAGGGACUUUCCUGGAAGGAACGCAUCUUCCUGCGUGGCAGCUGGUGCUAUUUUGUAAUCACUGGCUGCAAAAGCAGUGGGACCACGCUACUGUAUUCGAGUGUCUCCAGUGGUCUCCUAACACUAGUGUCGACUGGCGGAGUUUCUGUUCAGAGGUGACUCUCGACUGGCUGAAAAACCAGCAGCCAAUUGGUGGUGACGGUGUAAUUGUAGAGAUUGACGAGACCUAUUUUGUGAAAAGAAAGAACAACAAAGGUCGCAAUCUCAGUAGUGUGUGGCUGUUUGGGGGAAUCGAGCGUGUCACAAUCGAGCGUGUCACUAAAAAAGUUCAUCGUCCCCUUACUUGGAAAGCAGCGAGACAGAAGUGCGGCAACACUGAUUUAUAUCAUAAAGAAAUGCAUUUUGCCAGGAAGUACAAUCGUAAGUGACGGAUGGAAAGCCUACGAGUUGCUGGGAAACGAAGGCUUCACUCACUGGGUCGUGAACCACUCUCAGCACUUUGUGGACCCUUCAGACGCUCGUGUACAUACCCAGAACAUUGAGAGGCUCUGGAGGGACCUAAAAGAGUGGACCAAGCGACCUGGUAUGCUGAGUGAGUACUUCGAACAGUACUUCUCUCGCUACCUUUUCCUUAAGGAAAAGUACGAAGACCGUCACCACCAAUUCUUUCUUGCUGCUGGUAGAUUGUACAAGCCUCAGUCGACACGCCAGCGCCCUCUGCCCGCCUUUGCUGACACUGCCUGUGAUACUCAUGGGGAGGAUGACCGACAGCCAGGACCUUCGUCGUCUAAGAAUUGUGUAGGGCGACGUAGCUGCCGGGAUUACAUGGAGGCCAGAGCGGUUGGACGCCGAUCCCGGUGCAUCUACGGCAGCACUAGUGGAAACAUUGGUUACGAGAAAUUCUCAGAAAUAUAUCAAAUAGUUGAGGGCUCUUGAGAGCCACUGUCUUCCAGAAUCUGAGACUAUUUUGGAUUGUGCUAUAUACCCAGAUGUUGAGUUCUUGAUUCGACGCAGAUGCUCGAGUAUAAGGUUCGGCACAGAUGGUGCUUCAUCCACAUGCGUGCUCGGUGCGUCUUUGAAAAGAGAUAAGAGCGACAGAGGGUAAUGGGGUAAUGGGUAAUGGCUGUUGCGAGUGAAAUGCUUUUGUGGUCUGUCCAAGCAUACAUGAUUCAAGCGUCCUGCUCGUGACGCAAUCGGCAAUAAGUAUCGGAAGAAUGUACCUAUAUUACGCUCAAGCGUGUCGGGUUGCCACCACACAUUAGGUGCACAAAGAACGAAGAUUUUCUGUUCAAAGGACGAAAUUUCUUAUUUCCAUCUAAGAAAAUAAUGCAUAAAGGCCAGAAAUCUGUUAUUGGGAUUCAUUUUUGGUUGUUAAAAGAAGAGGGCCCUAACCAAGUUAUAUUUGACGCUGGCGUGUGUAGAUUGUGUAACUAUAGUCCCCAUAAUAUAGGAAGGAUAGGUCCAUUAGAAUCUGUAUAAAUGAGGGGACGAAGGGUAUCUCUAAUGAAAGAAUGCUGAAGCUUUUCAAAGAGAUAACGAAAAAAAAAAUUGGUAUUAGAAUCUGAUUAAAUGAGGGGACGAAGGGCAUCUCUAAUGAAAGAAUGCUGAAGCUUUUCUAAGAGAUAACGAAAAAACGAAAAAAAAAUUGGUACAAGUCCUAAGUACUUAGAGAGCUUAAGACUUCAUAUUAUCCAAAUAUAUGGAUGUUGAUAGGUGGAAAUAGGUAUGUUUCACACAGGAACUGCCAUGUAUAGGCCUGAUUUCUUAGCUUCCCGUAUAUUCACAUGUUCUUGUAGGAAAUAGUGUCCCUGAAACACUGCGCCUCCCCGAUUGACCAAUUAGCGCUGAGGGUGGCACUGAGAGCGGAGGCGAGCACAAAGGACGGAAUCAGUGAUGUGGAUGACGCUACGCUCAAAACGCCCUUGAAGCAGAGAUGCCCGAUGAAUCCAAGAUGAGGUAGUACGGUGUUGGAAAGGGCCUGCUGUGUUAAACGCCCUCCCACUAGCUACGAAGCAACGUAAUAAAGAUCGCCCGUACUGCUCUGCCAAACCAAGAGGAUUCGUGUUUGUCCCGUCCUUUAAGAGUCCUUCUGAAGCUCUCCCACUGAUGUGUUUGGGCGAGCUGUGAGCGAGCGGGCGUGAGGUGCGACGGGUCCCCGUGAAGACGUACCUUGCCUGAGCUGUGAGCUGCAAGCGAGGCGUGCUGGUGUCCGGAUCUACACUGUUCUCAUGUUCUCACCAUUAGUUUGUACAAUAAUGCUCCCAGGAGCCUCAUUUCAGAUUCAUAUUCCGUAUCAAAAGGAAAUGCUUUGUUGUAUGGAACUAGUUCUAUGAUGAUAUCUGUAUGGUGUUUUGUAUUGUUACCGAUUUCAGUAUGGUUUGGUGUAUCAGCAUCACAUCAGGCGUGCAAUGUGACCUUUUACCUACAGCGCGCACACAUCCACAGUAUGUUGUUGACUACAGCUGCUCAAAACAUCCUCGUAUAGGUAAUAUCCAUGACAGGGCAUACAUGUAAAUUCAGAGCAAGGUGUUUUAUUUAAGGUUUAAAUUUUUUUCAUGAAUUGUUGCAGGUGCUGCCACUACUUAAGAGAGAACCAAAUCAGUGUGUCCUGCCAACAAUUCCAAUUCCAUCUUGCUGCAGGAAACUGGUUUCAUGUUGCACUGGGAGAUGAGAUGCCAUCUGCUUCGCUUCACCUUCCAGGGAGAGACUUGCCUCACACCUCCACUAUUUCCUGUUAAUGCAUGCUGCCGUCUGUUAUCCCUUCCGUGUCCUGCCUCACACCACUUCUUUCUUAUCAAUACAUGCUGCUGUUUAUUACCUCUUUCUCAUGUGAAUAUAAUUACCUGUGGUGCCAAUACUGUAUAAUAAAUUAUAAAAUCAAA